rnacentral:rRNA from 1 species
UACAGGGGGGGCAAGCGUUGUUCGGAAUUACUGGGCGUAAAGGGCUCGUAGGUGGCCAACUAAGUCAUACGUGAAAUCCCUCAGCUUAACUGGGGAACUGCGUCUGAUACUGGAUGGCUUGAGUUUGGGAGAGGGAUGCGGAAUUCCAGGUGUAGCGGUGAAAUGCGUAGAUAUCUGGAGGAACACCGGUGGCGAAGGCGGCAUCCUGGACCAAUACUGACACUGAGGAGCGAAAGCCAGGGGAGCAAACGGG